rnacentral:lncRNA from 1 species
UUUGAGUCAUUGAUGGUGAGCUCUUUCAUUUCAUCUUCUAUGAUAUCUGCAUCAUCAGCAUCCUCUCUCUUCCUUGAUGGAAGAUUAUUAGUUUCAUCAAAAACUAUAUGAAUUGACUCUUCUACUACUAGUGUUCUUUUAUUAAAUAUUCUAAAGAUUUUGCUAGAAGUAGAAUAGCCAAGAAAGAUAGCUUCAUCAGAUUUAGCAUCAAAUUUACCUAAACUAUCUUUUUUAUUAUUUAAAAUAAAAUACCGACAAUCAAAAAUAUGAAAAUAGCCUAUAUUAGGUUUUCUAC